UACAGGGGGUGCAAGCGUUGCUCGGAAUCACUGGGCGUAAAGCGUACGCAGGCGGACCGCUAAGUCGGAUGUGAAAGCCCAGGGCUCAACCCUGGAACGGCAUUCGAAACUGACGGUCUUGAAUACGGGAGAGGUGAAUGGAAUUCCUGGUGUAGAGGUGAAAUUCGUAGAUAUCAGGAGGAACAUCGGUGGCGAAAGCGGUUCACUGGCCCGAAUGAUGACGCUCAUGUAUCGAAAGCGUGGGGAGCAAACAGG
rnacentral:rRNA from 1 species